rfam:Mycobacterium heidelbergense strain DSM 44471 NODE_36_length_44229_cov_50.781, whole genome shotgun sequence.
UCAGAUCAUCCUCGGGAAGGUGCGCCCACUUUCACGCCCCCACACCGAGGCU